rnacentral:rRNA from 1 species
GAUGAACGCUGGCGGCGUGCCUAACACAUGCAAGUCGAGCGCGGUCCCUUUGGUGCUUGCACCAAAGACGACUGAGCGGCGGACGGGUGAGUAACGCGUGGGUAACCUGCCCUGUACAUAUGGAUAACAUGCUGAAAAGCAUACUAAUACAUAAUAACGUACAUUGAAGGCAUCUUCAGUGUAUCAAAGCGUUAGCGGUACAGGAUGGACCCGCGUCUGAUUAGCUAGUUGGUAAGGUAACGGCUUACCAAGGCGACGAUGCAUAGCCGAGUUGAGAGACUGAUCGGCCACAUUGGGACUGAGACACGGCCCAA